rnacentral:SRP_RNA from 1 species
GCCAGGCAUGGUAGCAUGUGCCUGUAGUCCCAGCUACUCAGGAGGCUGAGGCAGGAGGAUCACUUGAGUCCAGGAGUUUGAGGCUGUGAUGCACUUGAUCAGACCUGUGAAUAGCCACUACACUCCAGCCUGGAUAACAUAGUGAGACCCUGCCUCUA